rnacentral:rRNA from 1 species
AUUGAACGCUGGCGGCAGGCUUAACACAUGCAAGUCGAGCGGAGCGAGGGUGCUUGCACCUUAGCUUAGCGGCGGACGGGUGAGUAAUGCUUAGGAAUCCGCCUAUUAGUGGGGGACAACAUUCCGAAAGGAAUGCUAAUACCGCAUACGCGCUACGGGGGAAAGCAGGGGAUCUUCGGACCUUGCGCUAAUAGAUGAGCCUAAGUCGGAUUAGCUAGUUGGUGGGGUAAAGGCCUACCAAGGCGACGAUCUGUAGCGGGUCUGAGAGGAUGAUCCGCCACACUGGGACUGAGACACGGCCCAGACUCCUACGGGAGGCAGCAGUGGGGAAUAUUGGACAAUGGGCGGAAGCCUGAUCCAGCCAUGCCGCGUGUGUGAAGAAGGCCUUUUGGUUGUAAAGCACUUUAAGCGAGGAGGAGGCUACUAGUACUAAUACUACUGGAUAGUGGACGUUACUCGCAGAAUAAGCACCGGCUAACUCUGUGCCAGCAGCCGCCGUAAGAC